AACGAACGCUGGCGGCAUGCCUAACACAUGCAAGUCGAACGAAGCCUUCGGGCUUAGUGGCGCACGGGUGCGUAACGCGUGGGAAUCUGCCCUUGGGUUCGGAAUAACAGUUAGAAAUGACUGCUAAUACCGGAUGAUGUCUUCGGACCAAAGAUUUGUCGCCCAAGGAUGAGCCCGCGUAGGAUUAGGUAGUUGGUGGGGUAAUGGCCCCCCAAGCCGACGAUCCUUAGCUGGUCUGAGAGGAUGAUCAGCCACACUGGGACUGAGACACGGCCCAGACUCCUACGGGAGGCAGCAGUGGGGAAUAUUGGACAAUGGGCGAAAGCCUGAUCCAGCAAUGCCGCGUGAGUGAUGAAGGCCUUAGGGUUGUAAAGCUCUUUUACCAGGGAUGAUAAUGACAGUACCUGGAGAAUAAGCUCCGGCUAACUCCGUGCCAGCAGCCGCAGUAA
rnacentral:rRNA from 1 species